rnacentral:rRNA from 1 species
GACGAACGCUGGCGGCGUGCUUAACACAUGCAAGUCGUACGGUAAGGCCCUUUCGGGGGUACACGAGUGGCGAACGGGUGAGUAACACGUGAGUAACCUGCCCACAACUUUGGGAUAACGCUAGGAAACUGGUGCUAAUACUGGAUAUGUGCUCCUGCUGCAUGGUGGGGGUUGGAAAGCUCCGGCGGUUGUGGAUGGACUCGCGGCCUAUCAGCUUGUUGGUGGGGUAGUGGCCUACCAAGGCGGCGACGGGUAGCCGGCCUGAGAGGGUGACCGGCCACAUUGGGACUGAGAUACGGCCCAGACUCCUACGGGAGGCAGCAGUGGGGAAUAUUGCACAAUGGGCGCAAGCCUGAUGCAGCAACGCCGCGUGCGGGAUGACGGCUUUCGGGUUGUAAACCGCUUUCAGCAGGGACGAAGCUUUUUGUGACGGUACCUGCAGAAGAAGCACCGGCUAACUACGUG